rnacentral:rRNA from 1 species
GAUGAACGCUGGCGGCGUGCCUAAUACAUGCAAGUAGAACGCUGAAGCUUGGUGCUUGCACCGAGCGGAUGAGUUGCGAACGGGUGAGUAACGCGUAGGUAACCUGCCUCGUAGCGGGGGAUAACUAUUGGAAACGAUAGCUAAUACCGCAUAAAAGUCGAUAUCGCAUGAUAUUGAUUUGAAAGGUGCAAAUGCAUCACUAAGAGAUGGACCUGCGUUGUAUUAGCUAGUUGGUGAGGUAACGGCUCACCAAGGCGACGAUACAUAGCCGACCUGAGAGGGUGAUCGGCCACACUGGGACUGAGACACGGCCCAGACUCCUACGGGAGGCAGCAGUAGGGAAUCUUCGGCAAUGGGGGCAACCCUGACCGAGCAACGCCGCGUGAGUGAAGAAGGUUUUCGGAUUGUAAAGCUCUGUUGUAAGAGAAGAACGAGUGUGAGAGUGGAAAGUUCACGCUGUGACGGAUCUACCCAAAA